AUUGAACGCUGGCGGAAUGCUUUACACAUGCAAGUCGAACGGCAGCACGGGGCAACCUGGUGGCGAGUGGCGAACGGGUGAGUAAUACAUCGGAACGUGCCCAAUCGUGGGGGGAUAACGUAGCGAAAGUUACGCUAAUACCGCAUACGAUCUACGGAUGAAAGCGGGGGAUCGCAAGACCUCGCGCGAAUGGAGCGGCCGAUGUCAGAUUAGGUAGUUGGUGGGGUAAAGGCUCACCAAGCCGACGAUCUGUAGCUGGUCUGAGAGGACGACCAGCCACACUGGGACUGAGACACGGCCCAGACUCCUACGGGAGGCAGCAGUGGGGAAUUUUGGACAAUGGGCGCAAGCCUGAUCCAGCCAUGCCGCGUGCGGGAAGAAGGCCUUCGGGUUGUAAACCGCUUUUGUACGGAACGAAACGGUCUGCCCUAAUACGGCAGGCUAAUGACGGUACCGUAAGAAUAAAGCACCGGCUAACUACGUAGCCAGCAGCCGCGGUAAGAGUA
rnacentral:rRNA from 1 species